UACGAAGGGGGCGAGCGUUGUUCGGAAUCACUGGGCGUAAAGGGCGCGUAGGCGGCGUUUUAAGUCGGGGGUGAAAGCCUGUGGCUCAACCACAGAAUGGCCUUCGAUACUGGGACGCUUGAGUAUGGUAGAGGUUGGUGGAACUGCGAGUGUAGAGGUGAAAUUCGUAGAUAUUCGCAAGAACACCGGUGGCGAAGGCGGCCAACUGGACCAUUACUGACGCUGAGGCGCGAAAGCGUGGGGAGCAAACAGG
rnacentral:rRNA from 1 species